UAGGCAGGUAGGUGACUGGGCCCAGCCAAUCAGAGCCAUAUGUUCCCAAUCAUAGUAAAGUGUCCAGAUGAGCCUGUGACCCAAUAAGAUGCACUGAGACCUUUGCUUAGCCUGCUGGUAAAGAGGCACUCUCUCUUCCCUUCUGGGUUUGAACUCCGCAGGAUGUUGGUCUGGAGUUGCUGGUAGCCAUCCUACCUCCGUGUGGGACUAGAGAACAAACCACCACAGAGAAAAGCAGAAAUACACAAUGAAGUAGGUCGUGUCCCAGUGACAUUGUUUGACCCCCUGAAUCCAGCCUGACCUGGACUUUUCAAUUCCCUGAGCUAAUACAUUCCCCCUUCUUGCCGAAGUCAAGAUAAGGACACUAACAAACACACAGGAGAGGUUUAGUAAUUUCCUGUGGUGGUCAGACUCCAAGAUGGUCCCAAUGAGAUCUGCUUCCUGGUAUCUCACGUCUUUACUUCAUUCUCUCCCCUUGAGUGUGGACCAGACUUUUAGUGAACUUCCUUCUAAUGAAUGGAAUCACUCACGCUGGCAGAAGCCAUGUUGUAAUCAGCUCAUCAGGUAAGAAACUGAAGGCUCCUUAAGUCAGGGGAGUAAGCUUGAAGUGGAUCUUCCAAUUGCAGUCAAGUCUUCGGAAACUAGAACUUACCUGACAGUUUCACUGCCUCCUCAUGAGAGACCCUGAGCCGGAACCACACCACAAAGCCAUUCCCGAUUUCUGGUCCUCAGAAACUGUGUGAAAUAACAAAUGUUUAUUUGUUUUU